UAAAGCUUCCCGGUCUUAUGGAGCAGACGACUCGAUUUGAAUGCACUUGCAGUAAGUUCUCAUUAACAAUCUACAUACCUGGAUUUUCUCCUUCGUAUAUUUGAUUAUCAUUUUUUAUAUAAUUCCUCCGCUGCUUCUCAUGUUUGUUAUGAUUUUUCUUUUUUAUUUGUUUGCAAUGUAUUUCACAUAUUCUAUUCGCGGGAACUAUGAAAUCUUGGCAUAAUUUGCUUUGCUGCUCAGUGUUAAUCAAGCGUCUUGAGAAUUUCGCUUGUUUUGGUUUUCCUUAAUUUUCCUUGUAGUUUUCAAGUCCAUGAGCAAUGUAUCUUAUUGAUUUCUACUGAAAUCGGAGUCGACCGGUUGUUCAAUGCUCGUCAUUGUUUCAUUACAUGCUUUUAACUUGGAAAGAAGCAAAUUCGCUCUAGCGUCUCCAUCAUUUGCCGUGAAUCGUGAUUUAUGUCGAGUUACAUCAUAUGAAGAAGAAUGCAAAAGUUAUUGGUGUGUGGUUGCUUCUUGUUUGUUAGUUUUGAGGAUUAUGAAAAGAUUUACGGAUGGAAUGCCAUUUUCAGUGUAGUAAACCAGAACCUUGAGUCACGGUGCUACUGGUAAAAUGAGUCAAAACCAACAGUAUAUUUUUUCUUUUAUUUUCUCUCUGCUGUGUUCGUGUUGACUAUUCUGUAGACAACAAUGCAGAAUAGGGGGAAAGAGGACUUGAUAUAUGCUCAGUCGAGAGAUGUAUCUAACUGAGUAGGUUAAACACGUGGGUGAGCCUAUGGAAUGAUCACAUUAUGAUAGAAUAUUUUAAAUAUGCCCUUGCAAAUCAGUUCAAUUAAACAUUACUCUGCUUGGCAUGGGCGGUUUAUCCAAGCAAGAGGAAAGUACCAUAAUUCAGCAUACUAUUUACCAUCCUGAUAAUCACUCUUGAAAACCAUCCAGAUACAUUUCACAUUUAGGGAAAUUAAUAUCUGAUGAAAAUUUCGUUGAUUAUAAUUAUUGAAAGGAGCUUGAAAUGUAUAGGGAUUAGGAUUGUGUUUGCAUAGGUUUUUCAUGUUCUUCAAUGAUCAAGUGUCAGGUUCUAUUUGAAACUUCCCUAUCACCAAGCCUUUACCUCGUGGAAAAAUAUACCUGCUGAUUGAUGAUAUAUUAGAUAGUACCUUUCAUUGAAUUCUUUCACUGUACAGAGAGCUGAGUGGUCUAUAAAGUUCCUCUUGUUUGUCUUCCUUACUAUAUAUCUCUAUACUAAAGGAACAUAAGGCAUGAUUGCUUAUAUUGGUUUUUCUUGAUGCAAGCUGUGUAUUGAGCUUCAGUAUUUUAUUAGCUUCAUGACGGUGAAGCAGUAUAUCGAUGCUUUCCCAUUUUCAAGUUUAACUAAGUCUCUUAACUUCAUGAUGCCAGAGCAGUCCAAUAAUCGGCUAUGCAUAAGCUUGUUGGAGUGCCAAUAAUUCGAGACCAAAUCCAUUGUGUCUCCUCUAUUUGCUGCAUUUCUGCCAACUGCCAGUAAAUCAUGAUGUUAGCGAAGCCUUAUUUUUAUGCUUUAGGAUUCUUCUUAAAGGAUCUACUAGAUUUGGCACGUUCCAUCAGAAUUCUAUUGAUCUUUAAGUUAUUCUUGAACUUGAAGCUUGAGAGAAGUUAAUGAAUUUUGUAUAGAAAG
rnacentral:lncRNA from 1 species